GAUUUAGACACCAAACCACAAGUAAAUCACCAAAUGUCCAUCUAGAGAGAGAAAGUGAUAGAGAGAGACGGAGUCCGUAGCAGCCCGUGUCUUCACUCCGUCGUCUCUGGCAGACGGUGGUGGUACUAAUUUCGCCGCCUUCCCAUCUUGCUGGUCAGUAGGUGGUGGAUGGUGGCGCCGCCGCCUCUGUCGGACGGUGGCGGUCCUGAAUCCGCCGCCUUCGCCAUGCUGCCAGGCGAUCGUUGGUGGCGGUUUCACAUGAGGGUUCCGGUGGUGUAUCGAUGGUGCUUUUGAUUUACUCAGCAAUAGGAACAAUGACCCACAUCUUUGUUUCACUCAUCAAAUAAGCGGCCUAGAAGAUUUAAAGGGGAAACUACCUUAGACUAAUUUCCAAAGAGAGCUGCUCAUGGGGAGAAAUAUGCGCUCGCACUGCCACUGCCGCAUAAGCGUACCGUCAGUCUAACUCAGAUAAUGUUAAGCUUAGGUUGUUUAUAAAUGCAGUUUUGGCAUAGUUAUUGUUACAGUAUGGCGCCGUUUGUGGUGUUUACAAGUCAUAUAGUGGCAUGUGUUUUGAAUUGUAUUCUAAAACUUUUCCAGUCUCUAUAGGAUUUUAAGAGUUAACGUGACAUUGAAAUCGAUUGAUGCAGAUUGAUUCUCUCAGGGCACUUAUAGGGUCUGGAAUAGAGGUCAUGGUUGGGAAUGUUACAAGAUAA
rnacentral:lncRNA from 1 species